AACGAACGCUGGCGGCAUGCCUAACACAUGCAAGUCGAACGAGACCUUCGGGUCUAGUGUCGCACGGGUGCGUAACGCGUGGGAACCUGCCCUUAGGUUCGGAAUCACUCCCCGAAAGGGGUUCUCAUCCCGGAUAAUGUCUUCGGACCAAAGAUUUAUCGCCUUUGGAUGGGCCCGCGUUGGAUUAGCUAGUUGGUAGGGUAAAAGCCUACCAAGGCGACGAUCCAUAGCUGGUCUGAGAGGAUGAUCAGCCACACUGGGACUGAGACACGGCCCAGACGCCUACGGGAGGCAGCAGUGGGGAAUAGUGGACAAUGGGCGAAAGCCUGAUCCAGCAAUGCCGCGUGAGUGAUGAAGGCCUUAGGGUUGUAAAGCUCUUUUACCCGGGAUGAUAAUGACAGUACCGGGAGAAUAAGCUCCGGCUAACUCCGUG
rnacentral:rRNA from 1 species